AGAAUCAACGCUGGCGGCGUGCCUAACACAUGCAAGUCGAACGAGAAAGUGGAGCAAUCCAUUAGUAAAGUGGCGCACGGGUGAGUAACACGUGACUAACCUACCCUUGAGUGGGGGAUAACCUAGAGAAAUCUGGGCUAAUACCGCAUAAUACCUUCGGGUCAAAGGAGCAAUUCGCUUAAGGAGGGGGUCGCGGCCGAUUAGUUAGUUGGCGGGGUAAUGGCCCACCAAGACUAUGAUCGGUAUCCGGCCUGAGAGGGCGCACGGACACACUGGAACUGAAACACGGUCCAGACUCCUACGGGAGGCAGCAGUGGGAAUUUUGCGCAAUGGGGGAAACCCUGACGCAGCAACGCCGCGUGGAGGAUGAAGCCCCUUGGGGCGUAAACUCCUUUCGAUCGGGACGAUAAUGACGGUACCGAGAGAAGAAGCCCCGGCUAACUUCGUGCCAGCAGCCGC
rnacentral:rRNA from 1 species